rnacentral:rRNA from 1 species
AUUGAACGCUGGCGGCAUGCCUUACACAUGCAAGUCGAACGGCAGCACGGGUGCUUGCCCCUGGUGGCGAGUGGCGAACGGGUGAGUAAUACAUCGGAACAUGUCCUGUAGUGGGGGAUAGCCCGGCGAAAGCCGGAUUAAUACCGCAUACGAUCUACGGAUGAAAGCGGGGGCCCCUCGGGCCUCGCGCUAUAGGGUUGGCCGAUGGCUGAUUAGCUAGUUGGUGGGGUAAAGGCCUACCAAGGCGACGAUCAGUAGCUGGUCUGAGAGGACGACCAGCCACACUGGAACUGAGACACGGCCCAGACUCCUACGGGAGGCAGCAGUGGGGAAUUUUGGACAAUGGGCGAAAGCCUGAUCCAGCAAUGCCGCGUGUGUGAAGAAGGCCUUCGGGUUGUAAAGCACUUUUGUCCGGAAAGAAAUCCUUGGCCCUAAUACGGUCGGGGGAUGACGGUACCGGAAGAAUAAGCACCGGCUAACUACGUG